rnacentral:rRNA from 1 species
UACGAAGGGGGCUAGCGUUGUUCGGAAUUACUGGGCGUAAAGCGCACGUAGGCGGAUAUUUAAGUCAGGGGUGAAAUCCCAGAGCUCAACUCUGGAACUGCCUUUGAUACUGGGUAUCUCGAGUAUGGAAGAGGUGAGUGGAAUUCCGAGUGUAGAGAUGAAAUUCGUAGAUAUUCGGAGGAACACCAGUGGCGAAGGCGGCUCACUGGUCCAUUACUGACGCUGAGGUGCGAAAGCGUGGGGAGCAAACAGG